rnacentral:rRNA from 1 species
AGCCGCCGCGGUAAUACCAGCAGCUCUAGUGGUGGUCGUUUUUAUUGGGCCUAAAGCGUCCGUAGCCGGUCAGGUAAAUCUUUGGGUAAAUCGACGGGCUUAACUCGUCGAAUUCCGAAGAGACUGUCUGACUUGGGACUGGGAGAAGUCGGAGGUACUCUAGGGGUAGGGGUGAAAUCCUGUAAUCCUUAGAGGACCACCAGUGGCGAAGGCGUCCGACUAGAACGGGUCCGACGGUGAGGGACGAAGCCCUGGGGCGCGAACCGGAUUAGAUACCCGGGUAGUCCAGGGUGUAAACGCUGCAGGCUUGGUGUUGGGGGUCCUACGAGGGCGUCCAGUGCCGUAGAGAAGUUGUUAAGCCUGCCGCCUGGGGAGUACGAUCGCAAGAUUGAAACUUAAAGGAAUUGGCGGGGGAGCACAGCAACGGGUGGAGCGUGCGGUUUAAUUGGAUUCAACGCCGGAAAACUCACCGGGGGCGACUGUUAUAUGUGGGCCAGACUAAUGAUCUUGCCUGAAUUUCAGAGAGGUGGUGCAUGGCCGCCGUCAGUUCGUACCGUAAGGCGUUCUGUUAAGUCAGACAACGAACGAGACCCCUGCCUCUAAUUGCUAUUGAUCUCUCCGGAGGUCAAGGACAUUAGAGGGACCGCUGGUGCUAAACCAGAGGAAGGGGGGGGCAACGGUAGGUCAGUAUGCCCCGAAUCUCCCGGGCUACACGCGCGCUACAAAGGGCGGGACAAUGGGUCCCUACCCCGAGAGGGGAUGGUAAUCCCGAAACCCGUCCGUAGUUCGGAUUGAGGGCUGUAACUCGCCCUCAUGAAGCUGGAAUCCGUAGUAAUCGCGGGUCAACAUCCCGCGGUGAAUAUGCCCCUGCUCCU